rnacentral:rRNA from 1 species
UGCCGCGUGCAGGAUGACGGCCCUACGGGAUUGUAAACUGCUUUUGUACCGGAAUAAACCUUUUCACGUGUGAGAAGCUGAAUGUACGGUAAGAAUAAGGAUCGGCUAACUCCGUGCCAGCAGCCGCGGUAAUACGGAGGAUCCAAGCGUUAUCCGGAUUUAUUGGGUUUAAAGGGUGCGUAGGCGGCUUGUUAAGUCAGAGGUGAAAGGCGGUAGCUUAACUAUCGGAGUGCCUUUGAUACUGAUGAACUUGAAUGCAGCUGAGGUAGGCGGAAUGUGACAAGUAGCGGUGAAAUGCAUAGAUAUGUCACAGAACACCGAUUGCGAAGGCAGCUUACUAAAGUGCGAUUGACGCUGAGGCACGAAAGCGUGGGGAUCAAACAGGAUUAGAUACCCUGGUAGUCCACGCCCUAAACGAUGAAUACUCGAUGUUGGCGAUAUACGGUCAGCGUCUAAGCGAAAGCGUUAAGUAUUCCACCUGGGGAGUACGCCCGCAAGGGUGAAACUCAGAGGAAUUGACGGGGGCCCGCACAAGCGGAGGAGUAUGUGGUUUAAUUCGAUGAUACGCGAGGAACCUUACCCGGGCUUGAAAGUUAGUGAAUGAUACAGA